GUGCUCACUUCAGCAGUACAUAUACUAAAAUUGAAAUGAUACAGAGAUUAGCAUGGUCCCUGAACAAGGAGGACAGGCAAAUUCGUGAAGCAUUCCAUAUUAAA